GGACUACACGGGUAUCUAAUCCUGUUUGAUCCCCACGCUUUCGUGCCUCAGUGUCAAUUCAGGCCUAGUGAACUGCCUUCGCAAUCGGUGUUCUAUUACAUAUCUAAGCAUUUCACCGCUACAUGUAAUAUUCCAUCCACCUCGACCUGAUUCAAGCUAAGCAGUAUCAAUGGCAGUUUUACGGUUGAGCCGUAAUAUUUCACCACUGACUUACAAAGCCACCUACGCACCCUUUAAACCCAGUGAAUCCGGAUAACGCUUGCACCCUCCGUAUUACCGCGGCUGCUGGCAC
rnacentral:rRNA from 2 species